GAGCUUUCACCACUGCUGCUGUGUUUUUAUGAGUUUGGAAAAGUUAAGUUCGGUGUAGGCAUUCGUUUCUAUAUUGCUAUGUGAAAUCAAUGCGCCGGGGCAGAAGUACGCAGAAUACUGUGGAGUCAUCCUACAGUGUCAUAUGGUUCUUCUCCUUCCAUUGCCAGACAGGAGCGUCAGGCGCAAUGGAGGCAACAGAAGGACUCAAAUGGCUACCAGAUGUGCUUCCAAUCGGCUCCGGUUGCUAUGGAAACACUGGGACUGGAAUAGGUUUUCUGGGUCCUGCAGCAGAGCGUUUUUUUGGCUGACUCAUGCGGGCCCCGGUUUUUAAAGUGCCGCUGUUUCUAUAGGCUUGGCGCGCUCCAUGUCAUGUUUGGACUGGCAGACGACAUGUCACUGAGCCCCCCACCCGGUUCCCACACGCCUAUAACCGAGACUUUUUGACCACACUGUGCCUUGCAGCGUAUAGUCGCUCCUUUGUGUUCUUGCGGGCUUGCACAGCCAAAACAAUUACCGAGUGCCAAGUGUUAAAAAAAGUGACAGACAAGAUUGGUCUGGAGAUAAUAGAAUUCAGAAGAGGGCCAGACAGAGGAAAGACUCAGUUGAAAAUGUACUAUACGUAUAUAUAUUUCACCAUGACAGGAAUUUUCCUGAUUGGAUGAAAGCAAAAGUGUUUUAAUUCUCUCGCAUGUCAUGUUCUACCAUGUGCAACAAUUCAUUCAAGCUUGCCACAGAUUGCUUUGAAGCUGCAAGGGGACGUUUACUCAAGUCUCUUUUUAACUGUACUGGGGGUUUGGCUACUAGAUUACAUCGCAACUGCUUUUUGGAGCCUGAAACCACAAACAUUUGAAGACAGGUCUGAAAGGGGGUGUAUUUGGAAGCAAAACCUUUAUCGUUAAGACGUAUAAACAAUGAAAAUCAUUGUUUAUGGAAAUGGAGAGCUGUUGUUGUAUUGCUUAUGAUACGGCACACAUUUAUGCCGAUAAGGGUAUUUAGAGGACAUUUUGGGUAAGGUAUGUGGUUCUUUACAAGGUGAGAUCGCCCACUACUGGCCUGGCAUGUAUAUUACAUUAUUUACAUUAUUUCAUGUAAUUUUUGUUGCUUGGAAUCAACAAGGAUUGUUUUGACAAUGUUGUCAUUUGUAUGUGAAACUUGUGUCCGUGUCCAGGGGCGGGCUGGCCAUCGGGAGUAGCACAAGUUUUCCCACUGGGCCGUUCAGUAACAGGCUGAUUGACAGCUGUUUGUUUAUUUAUUUUUUGCUGCGCCGUGCCGUGGUAACUACUGUAACUAACUCUCCCUGGCCGGCCCCGGAACACAACACAACAGCGGGGGUGAGCAGUUGGCGCAGUCAGGGAUGUUGCCCAAGGCGCCGCAUGCUCGGCACAUGCGCAAAGGAUGCAUGCCGUGACACGCGCAUGGAGCAUCAAGUCAACCCGAGGCUAGAGAAUAAAAUAGCAAAUUUCACCUGCUCUCCUGUAAGUGUAAUGGAAGUUACUACUCCCUUUCAAGCAGAGGAUGUGGCUUUGAUUCCAGCCCUGGACAGUUUUUGUUCAAACGAGAGGAGGCUCAUGUGCGUGCCAUCAAAGGGCUGUGAAACACCGUCUUUCUCACAAAAUAUCCGCCUUUGCCAUUAACACAGAGGCUGAUAAAGUACAUAUUAAAUAUUGUAUUGACCCUGACAUAAGACAGAUUUAAAAAAAGAUAGGUGAUUUGCAGAUUUCUAUAUGCAAACCAACAGGUGGCGAGUCAGAUCUUUUCUUCCUGUCACUCACAAACACACCAGUGACCUGUAAAGAUGCUUUCGUGCCACAAGAGACCUGCUGGUAAAAAAGUGUCUCAAAGGUUGUUAGCAAGUUGUAAAGCAUAUAUUAUAAGACAUAAAGUACCUCCGAAGGCGUAAUAUUGUCGAAAUAACUGCCCAUUUCUUUCCUAUUCCCUUA